AUUGAACGCUGGCGGCAGGCCUAACACAUGCAAGUCGAGCGGAUGAAGGGAGCUUGCUCCUGGAUUCAGCGGCGGACGGGUGAGUAAUGCCUAGGAAUCUGCCUGGUAGUGGGGGAUAACGUCCGGAAACGGGCGCUAAUACCGCAUACGUCCUGAGGGAGAAAGUGGGGGUUCUUCGGACCUCACGCUAUCAGAUGAGCCUAGGUCGGAUUAGCUAGUUGGUGGGGUAAAGGCCUACCAAGGCGACGAUCCGUAACUGGUCUGAGAGGAUAAUCAGUCACACUGGAACUGAGACACGGUCCAGACUCCUACGGGAGGCAGCAGUGGGGAAUAUUGGACAAUGGGCGAAAGCCUGAUCCAGCCAUGCCGCGUGUGUGAAGAAGGUCUUCGGAUUGUAAAGCACUUUAAGUUGGGAGGAAGGGCAGUAAGUUAAUACCUUGCUGUUUUGACGUUACCAACAGAAUAAGCACCGGCUAACUUCGUG
rnacentral:rRNA from 1 species